GUCUCGCGCUUGCAGAGUCUUUGACUCGAGCAUAUAAAAUCCAUGGCCGUGACGUCACUGCCAGCUAACGUCCCACACGGAUUAAAGAUGGCGCCCUCUCAUGCGCUGAAGUGCUGUCACCGGGCUCUGAACUGGGUACCUGUCCUGUUUAUAAACCUGGUUGUCGGCUGGUCUUAUUACGCGUAUGUUGUGGAGCUCUGCGUCUAUACAAUAACAAAUAAUGCAGAACGAAUCAGCUAUUUGAUCAUCUUUCACAUUUUCUUCGCCAUGUUUAUAUGGUCCUACUGGAAAACUAUUGGGUCCAGACCAGCUGGACCCUCAAAAGCAUUCAGCCUGCCCAGAGCAGAGAAGGAACUGUACGAGAGAGAGGAGCGAGCCGAGACGCAACAUGAGAUUCUUAAGAAAGUGGCGAGGAAUUUACCCGUGUAUACAUUCACGGCAGGAAAAGCUGUCCGAUACUGCAACCACUGCCAGAUUAUCAAACCUGACCGCUGCCAUCACUGCUCAACCUGUGAGAUGUGUGUGCUGAAAAUGGACCAUCACUGCCCCUGGGUGAAUAACUGUGUUGGAUUCUCAAACUACAAGUACUUUGUGCUGUUCUUGGCCUAUGCCUCACUCUACUGUGUCGUCAUUUGUUCUACUGUCAUCCAGUAUUUCAUCAAAUUCUGGACAAAACAGCUGCCUGACACGUCCGCCAAAUUCCACAUCUUGUUUCUGUUUUUCGUGGCUGCCCUGUUCUUGAUCUGCAACCUGUCACUUCUCAGCUACCAUAUGUGGCUUGUGGGAAAUAACAGGACCACUAUAGAAGCUUUUCGGGCUCCCGUCUUCACAAAUGGUCCAGACAAGAAGGGCUUUUCUCUCGGCUUUAGCCGAAAUGCAGCUGAGGUGUUUGGAGACCAAGCAAAGUACUGGAUGAUUCCUGUUUUCUCAAGUCAAGGAGAUGGACAUUCCUUUGGCACCAGAUUGGUACACAUAGAUCCUAAACAAGCAAACAGUGUUCCCCAGCAAAAUGGCAAAAGCCCUGCUGAUGGGAAGGCCGACCCCUGUGUGCUUGGUAACAAUAUUCAACACACGGCAGAUGACAGCAAAGAGGAAACCGGUUUGUUGUUGAUGCCUUUGUUUUCAUUUCAGUAUGGCCUAUAUGUUUGCGUUAAUACAAGGAACUUUAAACUGGUUAUGAAAUAGUCUCAAUUUAAUACUGAUGCCUCGAUAUGAGCUGCAUUUAUAUACUAUUUCUAUAUAUAGUUAUUCUUAAUGCUUGACAUCUGGUCAGAUUCCCCACGGAAUCAAACAAAGCAAUUUCCAAAAUUCAGGUUCACCAGCAAUUCCUUCAACUUCGGCUACAGCACAGGAACCAGAACUGCAGUAAAAGGAGAGGUUUUCUUAAGGGAGUGUAGCAGUUGUUGAACUUUAGGACAAAACGCUUAAAAUCAACACAAAAUUAAAGUUCUUUGUGGUUACUUAGUUUUAGUUUUUACUUUCCUGCUCCUGAAACAUCCCUUGUGUCCUCACUUUUUACUUUCAGACGGAGGCCGGACAGUCUCGGUGACAAUGGAGAGUGAGCCGUAGCAGGUCGCAGGGACAUCAGUAGACUACGAUGCCUUAAACCGGGAGCUUCAGCACCUCUACAGGAGCCGUCCUCCACCCUCAUUUUGAGUUUGACAGUGCAGCCUCAAGAUGCGUGUUUUCUGUGUACUUUAAAUGGACCGUCCUUCAUCCAGCGUGCUUUAAAACGGCACCAAAACGAGAUUGUUGUCCCGUCAACAAGGACUGUACAGCGGCCUCGCAGACUGCAACCAGUCUGAGGGGAUUCACAGUUUUCGUCUUUGUUUUGAGCCAUAGACAUUCAAAUUAUGUUUUGUUAUUAUUGCAUCUGAAAAACUCUGACACUACUUUUUCCAUAUCUUGAGCCAAUGCAUCUCAAUACAUUGUGUGUGUUUUAUAAACAUGAAUUAAUCACAUUAUACAUUCCUACUAGAGAAACAGCCUUUGUCAGUAUUAAUCCAGCAUUAACAACUAAAAGAGAGCGGUGGUAACCACUAAAGUGAGAUGUGUAUAACACUCAACAGUAUUAGUUUUAACUCCAAGCACAGUGCCAUUAUUAAGAUUAUUAACAGUCAGUUAUCAAAUGGUAUAAUAUAGUUUAGAUAGUUAGUUUAAAUAGUUGAAAAUAUUUUAAAGGCUUUUUUUUAACAAUUUAAAGAGACUUAUUUUUUACAUUUCAAGAUUUUGACUGGUCAAAUAAAAUGUAAGGACCACAUCCUGUUAAACUUCAUUGAACAUGGUUUCAUUGCAUUUAAAACACAUGAGUUAAGAGUAAUUAUCAAUGAGGUUGCUGUUUUCAUUGCACUAUACAAUUUGUAAUUUAUUUAUUUUUCAGGCUUUUAUAAAUGAAAUGUCUUUCAGUGCAUUGAUUUUAUUGUAAUGAGUUAUUUAGUUGUUUUAAUGUGUAUUGUGCUCUUCCACAGAUUGUGUUCAUGUUCAUAAUCAAUCCUUUGCAACCGUGUGUAUUUGUUUCUAACUUAAUCACGCUUGUGUUUUAAUGCCAAUGAUUAAGUCUGUCUUCAUUAUUGUUUUUCUGACUAAAGAAAUAGAUUAAUUUGAAGGUUGGAAAGCAUAAAAUGACACCCCAAUAAAACUCAAGGAUGUUUGAUCCUGUGUCCUUGAGCCUGUUAAGCAAAUAGAUAAGGUACUUUAUAGAGCAGCGCAUGCUCACUGCUGCUUUAUUUGGUUAAAUUCAUUUCAGUGGAAAUGAUACAGUGACCUGUAGACAACAAUAAUAAUGUGUAGAUGUUACACAUUCUCAAGUUUAAUUACUGACUGAACUCGGCCUAAUGGAUCUCAAGCAGCUACUGCUGCUAAUGUAGUUAGGCCUGUAAAGAGCUUUUCUUUUUUUUUUGUUCUAUAACAAUAAAUAUGUAAGAAACUAUAAAUAUGUGAUUCUUUAUUUUGAACACUGGCGCAUUGGGAUUUGUAACAUGACAGAAGUUUAGAUGUCUUACUUGACAGUGAAACAGCUCUGCAGAGGACUGACUGUUACAGUUUAUCGUAAUCAGUGUGGAUUUGUCCAGAUAGUGUUUUAUAUGACACAUGAUUCUGCCUGUGAAAUGUGGGAUCCUCAAAAUCUUCAAAUGUGGGUUAUAUCUGUAGUCAGGGGUCAAAAACAUAACUCUUGAAAUAUGAAAC